UCCUGAAUAGCUCAGCCGGUAGAGCGCGUGACUGUUAAUCACGAUGUCGCAGGUUCGAACCCUGCUUCAGGAGCCA
rnacentral:tRNA from 10 species